rnacentral:tRNA from 1 species
AAUGUAGAGCCUGAAAUUAAAGGGUUAUCUUGAUGUGAUAAAAUUUGUAAUAUUUUACCUACAUUA